rnacentral:misc_RNA from 1 species
GAUGAAGAACUCAGCGAACUGCGAUAAGUAAUGUGAAUUGCAGAAUUCAGUGAAUCAUCGAGUCUUUGAACGCACAUUGCGCCCCCUGGCAUUCCGGGGGGCAUGCCUGUCCGAGCGUCAUUGCUGCCCUUCAAGCCCGGCUUGUGUGUUGGGUCGUCGUCCCCCCCGGGGGACGGGCCCGAAAGGCAGCGGCGGCACCGCGUCCGGUCCUCGAGCGUAUGGGGCUUUGUCACCCGCUCGAUUAGGGCCGGCCGGGCGCCAGCCGGCGUCUCCAACCUUCUAUUUUACCAGGUUGACCUCGGAUCAGGUAGGGAUACCCGCUGAACUUAAGCAUAUCAAUAAGCGGAGGA